AGGGGACUGCUGACUAUAACCAUUUCUCAAAACAGAGGAAGGUUGCGGCAAUAACAGGUCUGUGAUGCCCUCAGAUGUCCCGGGCUGCACACGUGCUACAAUGAGUGGCGCAAUGUGCUAAUGUUUUAAGGGAUAAGCGUGCGGCCAGUAGAACGUCGGCAAUUGCCCUGGCGUCUUCUACCGCACGAUUAUCAGCCUUCCCUUAACAGGGCGGGCAACCUUUUCAAAAUACCGGUUUGAUGUUAAAGUAUAGAGUCGUUUUUUUUGGAUGGUGGUUUACGAACCAAUACCAUCCGCAACUGCUCGCGAGUUUGUGGUUCUGGUGACUCAUGGUGGGGACCGAUGUUUGUAAUUGUUUGUCGCGUGUCAACUAGGAAUGCCUUGUACUGUCGAUUCACUAAGUU
rnacentral:rRNA from 1 species